rnacentral:rRNA from 1 species
UGGGGAAUUUUGGACAAUGGGCGCAAGCCUGAUCCAGCCAUGCCGCGUGCAGGAAGAAGCAUCUAUGGUGUGUAAACUGCUUUUGUACGGGAAGAAACACUCCUACGUGUAGGAGCUUGACGGUACCGUAAGAAUAAGGAUCGGCUAACUCCGUGCCAGCAGCCGCGGUAAUACGGAGGAUCCAAGCGUUAUCCGGAAUCAUUGGGUUUAAAGGGUCCGUAGGCGGUUUAAUAAGUCAGUGGUGAAAGCCCAUCGCUCAACGAUGAAACGGCCAUUGAUACUGUUAGACUUGAAUUACAAGGAAGUAACUAGAAUAUGUAGUGUAGCGGUGAAAUGCUUAGAUAUUACAUGGGAUACCAAUUGCGAAGGCAGGUUACUACUUGUAGAUUGGCGCUGAUGGACGAAAGCGUGGGGAGAAAAC